CGGAGGCACCUGAGCGAUGUCAUCAGCGAGACCUACCUGUCUGAAGACGAGAUGGCAGCCAUCAGUCGGGAGUGCCUGCAAGGCCUGGAUUUUCUUCACUCGAACCACGUGAUCCACCGAGAUGUGAAGAGCAGCAACAUCCUUCUCAGAACCGACGGCUCUGUCAAGCUGGUUGACUCUGGCCCCUUUGCUCAGCUCAGCCCUGAGCAGAGUCGAUGGAGCUCAGUGGCCAGCAUUUCUGGGUGGAUGGCGCCUGAAGUGGCGACAGGUC